rnacentral:rRNA from 1 species
CCCCUAGAUGUUCUGGGCCGCACGCGCGCUACACUGAACAGUUCAACAAGUCUUAACCUUGGCCGAUAGGUCUGGGUAAUCUUUGAACGCUGUUCGUGAUUGGGAUAGACCUUUGCAAUUAUGGGUCUUCAACGAGGAAUUCCUAGUAAACGCAAGUCAUCAGCUUGCAUUGAUUACGUCCCUGCCCUUUGUACACACCGCCCGUCGCACCUACCGAUUGAAUGGUCCGGUGAAAUCUCGGGACGGCGGCUCGGUCGCUCGCGUCCGACUGCUGAAACUUGAUUAAACCAUAUCAUUUAGAGGAAGGUGAAGUCGUAACA